CCUACGGGAGGCAGCAGUGGGGAAUAUUGGACAAUGGGCGAAAGCCUGAUCCAGCAAUGCCGCGUGAGUGAUGAAGGCCUUCGGGUCGUAAAGCUCUUUUACCAGGGAUGAUAAUGACAGUACCUGGAGAAUAAGCUCCGGCUAACUCCGUGCCAGCAGCCGCGGUAAUACGGAGGGAGCUAGCGUUGUUCGGAAUUACUGGGCGUAAAGAGUACGUAGGCGGUUAUUCAAGUCAGAGGUGAAAGCCCGGGGCUCAACCCCGGAACUGCCUUUGAAACUAGAUAACUAGAGUCUUGGAGAGGUUAGUGGAAUUCCGAGUGUAGAGGUGAAAUUCGUAGAUAUUCGGAAGAACACCAGUGGCGAAGGCGACUAACUGGACAAGUACUGACGCUGAGGUACGAAAGCGUGGGGAGCAAACAGGAUUAGAUACCCUGGUAGUCCACGCCGUAAACGAUGAUAACUAGUUGUUCGGUCACUUGGUGACUGAGUGACGCAGCUAACGCAUUAAGUUAUCCGCCUGGGGAUACGGUCGCAAGAUUAAAACNCAAUGAAUUGACGNNGAGAGNGCGAGACGACGACGAGGAGAG
rnacentral:rRNA from 1 species